CACUGCGGAGGCUGGUCUCAAAGCAGCGUGUUCUGCUGCCGUAGAGCAGUCCCAGUGGCUCUGGGACUUCCUCCCAGCAAAGGUUUGCCCACUUGCCGCAUUGCCCAGAGUGACUUGCAAGACUCUGUUUCCACCUCCACAGUGAUCGGCUGGUCUGCAUCCGUCCUGUAGAAGUGGUGCAUUGCUCUGCAGUAGCUCUGCAGAGGUCUGCAGCAGCAUGCUUUUGUUCUACAAGGGAUGUCCUGAGGUUUUCUGAAGUUCAUUAACAAUUUUGUAAUGUUAGCGUCAUUCUAGUGACUUUGGGCAGAGCAGCUGCCUGCCUUGCUUUCUUUUUGGUUGAUUGUUCCAGAUUCCUAGGACUACCAUGAAAACAGCAGGUCCUUAUCCUGCAGAAGAGAAGUAGAUCUACUUAGUUUUACAUUAAUUGGCUCAGCUCUCAUUACAAAACUGAAUUUGGGUACCUUUUGGAAGGCUACUUGAGCCAUGGUGAAGAAUCCCGAAACCUUUCCCAGGACUUCUGGCUGUAUCUGCCCUGUGUUACAGAGCAGCCCCCUGGGGUAAUGUGGUGCUCUGAUGCUCUAAUUGAUAUAGCAGUAUCUUUUGUGGAAGGUAUGGCUCUGAGAGACAGCACUUAGAUGGAUCUCUUGGCAUGACUAUUAACCGUGCCUCUGCUUACAACUGCUGUAUGAUCUGCUUUGCUUAGGCACUAGCUGAUGAUGGAUUUUGUAGCUGUUAAAUUAAAGAUAAUUGCAGGCUUAGGAGGGCUGUGUGGUGACUACCGGAGGUGGGUGGAAUAUGUGCAAGCAAAAUGUGCAACGGAGAUUAGCAUUAUAGUGGUGGGAUCUGAGAACUGUAAAACAAAAAGGAACCUUUCUUCUCCGUGCUGGCCCAGAUCCUCAAGGGGAUAAAUUGUGUCUCUUGGGUCCUGUGUCUAGUCUGAGGCCUUUCCGAAGGGGCGUAAGGAUUUGGCUGAAAAUGGCUUGGAGGUGCCGAACCGCUUCAUACUGAUCUUGGACAAUAACAAGCGGGCUGGCCCUGGAGUAGCACUGGAGGCAGAAGCUGUGUUGCGGGGUGAACGAGUGAACCAAGUGGAUUCCGCUAAUGCCUGAGUGCUGAUACUGGACUCUGAGAGCCUCCCUGUAGCUCCUGAAUGAAAACAUGCCUUUAGUGACACAGUUAAAAAAGGAAAAGGCCUGACAGCAGUUGUUUCCAUGACAACAGAAAGAAUUGCCUGCAAUAUUUCAGCUCAUCAGCCUGGAGAACAGUCUGAUUGAUAGUUACAUACGCGUGGUAGAGAGAUAGCAGAAGAGGGGAGGCCAAUUAUAUCACAUUUUCCUUGUCCUUGAAUGCCUGUGGCUACAGCAACUGUGGAGGGCAGUUUUUCCUUGCUUUUUGUUGUUUUUUUCCAAGUGAGAAUGACCUGCAUGUCCCUUGGAAGCGCCUGUACAACCUGCCAGCUCCAGAUACGUGACCCUCACUGUCAUAGGCUCUCUGGUUCAAAGCCUAUGUUGUGUGUGCAGGGAAUAUGGAUGAUUGGCUCCUUGAUUGGUGAUUAGCAAAUAGUUAUUUACAAUAUAAAGCAUAUCUUGGUGCGGGAGGAAGUGAGUUUGAGCACAUGCUUCCAGCAUAAGCUAUCUGCACUCGGGACAUUCCUCUCUUCCUCAGACUGUCUGAUAAACAUCUCAAAGGCAAGAUGUGCGUGGCUUCAGGAGAGUAACAGAAUGAUUCAGGCUUCAGGAAACCUGUGGUGGGUUCAGUGCAUCUUCCCUCCGACCCACUGCGGACCGCAGCUCGCCAUCCACUUUGGGCAGGGCUCCUCAGAAGGGCCCUGUCCAAGAGGCUCUUAGCUCUGCCCAGGACAUAGCGUGCUCCUCUGGGGCCAUGAGAUGGAGCUGUAAUGCAGACUGCAGCCACCCCGGGCAGCAGCAGCCACAAGCUGUACCUUAAACCUGGACAGCAGCGUACCCCAGGCUUAGGAUGAUUAUCGGAGUGUGCUUUCUAGGGUGUUUGCCAAGUCUUGCUGGCUCUUGUGAAAAGCUGAUGGCAAGCUCUUCCAGAGAAGCUUGGGAGCCAGCGUGCUGUGCCUUGCACAGCACCAUGUUGCUGUAGUAUGCGCUUAUUUCCCCAAAUAGGACUGGGAGUUAUCUUCACAGAGCUUUUGAACGUGCUCUUUAAACACACCAUAAAGCAUGAGAAAUACAAAGCAAGCUGAGUGUGGCAGCAAAUGCACGGCAGCAAAUGCACUGCAGCAAUCCCCAAAGGAGAAUGCCUGCCCUGGGAGAAGGGCCUCACUGCUGGUAGGAGCCUGUAAGUGCAGAGAGGAGCACGCUUGUGCGUGACCGGGAAUGGUCCCGACUCCUGGUGACCCUGCCUGACUCCAGAGGAACAGUGAAGCCCCCUCUGCCACUGUGGGGCCAGGAGUUCAGCCUCAAUUCCAGUUGAUGGCACUUCUUGAAGGCAGCAAUACUAGUUCUUCAUGUUGGGCUUGAUCCAUUGCCAAAGAAAGUUUAAAGUAAAUGCAACUUCAGUCAGUACCCACUGGUAGGACUGUAGCAUUUUGGGUUAGUAGCCCUUAGGAAAUGUAUUUUGG